AUUGAACGCUGGCGGCAGGCCUACCACAUGCAAGUCGAACGAGUGGCGGACGGGUGAGUAAUGUCUGGGAAACUGCCUGAUGGAGGGGGAUAACUACUGGAAACGGUAGCUAAUACCGCAUACCAUCAGAUGUGCCCAGAUGGGAUUAGCUAGUUGGUGGGGUAACGGGUAACAAAGGCGACGAUCCCUAGCUGGUCUGAGAGGAUGACCAGCCACACUGGAACUGAGACACUGUCCAGACUCCUCAGUGAGGCAGCAUGGGGGAAGAUUGCACAAUGGGCGCAAUCCUGAUGCAGCCAUGCCGCGUGUAUGAAGAAGGCCUUCGGGUUGUAAAGUACUUUCAGCGGGGAGGCGUUACCCGCAGAAGAAGCACCGGCUAACUCCGUGCCAGCAGCCGCGGUAAUUC
rnacentral:rRNA from 1 species